CCUACGGGAGGCAGCAGUGGGGAAUAUUGGACAAUGGGCGAAAGCCUGAUCCAGCCAUGCCGCGUGUGUGAAGAAGGCCUUCGGGUUGUAAAGCACUUUCAGUGGGGAAGAAAGCCUUGGGGCUAAUACCCUCGAGGAAGGACAUCACCCACAGAAGAAGCACCGGCUAACUCCGUGCCAGCAGCCGCGGUAAUACGGAGGGUGCGAGCGUUAAUCGGAAUUACUGGGCGUAAAGCGUGCGUAGGCGGUCUGAUAAGCCGGUUGUGAAAGCCCCGGGCUCAACCUGGGAACGGCAUCCGGAACUGUCAGGCUAGAGUGCAGGAGAGGAAGGUAGAAUUCCCGGUGUAGCGGUGAAAUGCGUAGAGAUCGGGAGGAAUACCAGUGGCGAAGGCGGCCUUCUGGACUGACACUGACGCUGAGGUGCGAAAGCGUGGGUAGCAAACAGGAUUAGAUACCCGAGUAGU
rnacentral:rRNA from 1 species